GGUGCUAUACAUGCAAGUCGAGCGAACGGACGAGAAGCUUGCUUCUCUGAUGUUAGCGGCGGACGGGUGAGUAACACGUGGAUAACCUACCUAUAAGACUGGGAUAACUUCGGGAAACCGGAGCUAAUACCGGAUAAUAUUUUGAACCGCAUGGUUCAAAAGUGAAAGACGGUCUUGCUGUCACUUAUAGAUGGAUCCGCGCUGCAUUAGCUAGUUGGUAAGGUAACGGCUUACCAAGGCAACGAUGCAUAGCCGACCUGAGAGGGUGAUCGGCCACACUGGAACUGAGACACGGUCCAGACUCCUACGGGAGGCAGCAGUAGGGAAUCUUCCGCAAUGGGCGAAAGCCUGACGGAGCAACGCCGCGUGAGUGAUGAAGGUCUUCGGAUCGUAAAACUCUGUUAUUAGGGAAGAACAUAUGUGUAAGUAACUGUGCACAUCUUGACGGUACCUAAUCAGAAAGCCACGGCUAACUACGUGCCAGCAGCCGCGGUAAUACGUAGGUGGCAAGCGUUAUCCGGAAUUAUUGGGCGUAAAGCGCGCGUAGGCGGUUUUUUAAGUCUGAUGUGAAAGCCCACGGCUCAACCGUGGAGGGUCAUUGGAAACUGGAAAACUUGAGUGCAGAAGAGGAAAGUGGAAUUCCAUGUGUAGCGGUGAAAUGCGCAGAGAUAUGGAGGAACACCAGUGGCGAAGGCGACUUUCUGGUCUGUAACUGACGCUGAUGUGCGAAAGCGUGGGGAUCAAACAGGAUUAGAUACCCUGGUAGUCCACGCCGUAAACGAUGAGUGCUAAGUGUUAGGGGGUUUCCGCCCCUUAGUGCUGCAGCUAACGCAUUAAGCACUCCGCCUGGGGAGUACGACCGCAAGGUUGAAACUCAAAGGAAUUGACGGGGACCCGCACAAGCGGUGGAGCAUGUGGUUUAAUUCGAAGCAACGCGAAGAACCUUACCAAAUCUUGACAUCCUUUGACAACUCUAGAGAUAGAGCUUUCCCCUUCGGGGGACAAAGUGACAGGUGGUGCAUGGUUGUCGUCAGCUCGUGUCGUGAGAUGUUGGGUUAAGUCCCGCAACGAGCGCAACCCUUAAGCUUAGUUGCCAUCAUUAAGUUGGGCACUCUAAGUUGACUGCCGGUGACAAACCGGAGGAAGGUGGGGAUGACGUCAAAUCAUCAUGCCCCUUAUGAUUUGGGCUACACACGUGCUACAAUGGACAAUACAAAGGGCAGCGAAACCGCGAGGUCAAGCAAAUCCCAUAAAGUUGUUCUCAGUUCGGAUUGUAGUCUGCAACUCGACUACAUGAAGCUGGAAUCGCUAGUAAUCGUAGAUCAGCAUGCUACGGUGAAUACGUUCCCGGGUCUUGUACACACCGCCCGUCACACCACGAGAGUUUGUAACACCCGAAGCCGGUGGAGUAACCUUUUAGGAGCUAGCCGUCGAAGGUGGACAAA
rnacentral:rRNA from 1 species